rnacentral:rRNA from 1 species
GAUGAACGCUGGCGGCGUGCCUAAUACAUGCAAGUCGAGCGAACAGACGAGGAGCUUGCUCCUCUGACGUUAGCGGCGGACGGGUGAGUAACACGUGGAUAACCUACCUAUAAGACUGGGAUAACUUCGGGAAACCGGAGCUAAACCGGAUAAUAUAUUGAACCGCAUGGUUCAAUAGUGAAAGACGGUUUUGCUGUCACUUAUAGAUGGAUCCGCGCCGCAUUAGCUAGUUGGUAAGGUAACGGCUUACCAAGGCAACGAUGCGUAGCCGACCUGAGAGGGUGAUCGGCCACACUGGAACUGAGACACGGUCCAGACUCAUACGGGAGGCAGCAGUAGGGAAUCUUCCGCAAUGGGCGAAAGCCUGACGGAGCAACGCCGCGUGAGUGAUGAAGGUCUUCGGAUCGUAAAACUCUGUUAUUAGGGAAGAACAAAUGUGUAAGUAACUAUGCACGUCUUGACGGUACCUAAUCAGAAAGCCACGGCUAACUACGUG